rnacentral:rRNA from 1 species
AUUGAACGCUGGCGGCAGGCCUAACACAUGCAAGUCGAGCGGAGCGGCGGACGGGUGAGUAAUGCCUAGGAAUCUGCCUGGUAGUGGGGGAUAACGUCCGGCAACGGGCGCUAAUACCGCAUACUAUCAGAUGAGCCUAGGGCGGAUUGGCUAGUUGGUGGGGGAAAGGCCUACCAGGGCGACGAUCCGUAACUGGUCUGAGAGGAUGAUCAGUAACACUGGAACUGGGACACGGUCCAGCCUCCUACGGGAGGCCGCAGUGGGAAAGUUUGGAAAAUGGGCGAAAGCCUGAUCCAGCCAUGCCGCGUGUGUGAAGAAGGUCUUCGGAUUGUAAAGCACUUUAAGUUGGGAGACGUUACCAACAGAAUAAGCACCGGCUAACUUCGUGCCAGCAGCCGCGGUAAUAC